UACAGAGGGGGCAAGCGUUGUUCGGAAUUACUGGGCGUAAAGGGCGCGUAGGCGGCCCGCUAAGUCGAACGUGAAAUCCCUGGGCUCAACCCAGGAACUGCGUCCGAUACUGGUGGGCUUGAAUCCGGGAGAGGGAUGUGGAAUUCCAGGUGUAGCGGUGAAAUGCGUAGAUAUCUGGAGGAACACCGGUGGCGAAGGCGACAUCCUGGACCGGUAUUGACGCUGAGGGCGCGAAAAGCUAGGGGGAGCAAAACGGG
rnacentral:rRNA from 1 species